rnacentral:lncRNA from 1 species
ACAAAGAUGAAAAUAAAGAUCCUUCUUAGACAAAGAAGUAAUCAAAGAUGAAUCGGAGACCGAAUUGGAAAUGAUCUGCUUGUAAUCGGACGGCAGAAACUUCUCCCACACGGAAUCUGAAUCCGCAGCUGAUUUGAAGAUGGGACAUACCGUUGAUGAUAUGCAAGCAUCGCGAAGAGUUGUGAGAGAAAUGAUGUGCGAAAUGCACUCUGCAGGCAGCUGAUCAGCAACAGCGAUGUCCAUAUUACUUUCUCUAUUCAUUCUUCUUUAAUUUGCAACUCACAACCCCUUAUAGAGUAGGCAAGACUUCUUUGACAACCUAUAUUUGUAAGUCAAGUCAAUAUAGAAGGUUAUUAAAUUAAUUAGAAGUAGCGGAUAAAAGAUUCCAAAAUCAUACGGUUUGAAGUUUCAACAACAGUGAUGUCCUGUCCAUUUACACUUGGAGCUAUAAUGUGGGGUAAUUUGGAAAAUUGGGUUAAUUUCGGAUUAUCCCUCAUCAAUUAACUAUCAUUAAAUCCUUCUCUUUAUUUUUAAAAUCUCAAUUUAUCUCCUGAAGACAAAAAAAUUCAUCAACUAACCCUAAUUUUCCCUUAACUUUUGAACAAAAAUAAAAUAAUUUGAGGUUAUCAAAAAUAAGAAAAAUUAUUUAAAGAUAAUCAAUUUAUGAGAGAUAAUCUAAAAUUUACCCAAAAAAUUAUAUAUAUACAUCUACACAGAUUAACCUAAGGUCACCCCAACUUCUCAAAAAUGUAAAUGGAUUAAAACAUUUUAAAUCAUAGUCAGCUCAGCCUUUUUUCUUGAAGAAUUAAAAAGAAAUCAGUGUCUAUUCUUCUCCAAUUAAUUUUUUAUCCCCUUUAAUUUGGUCUUGAUUGUUCUAUUGUUAUUUAAUUUGGUCUUGAUUGUUCUAUUGUUACUUGGUGGCGGGAUGCGCAAUAGGAGAUUUAGACGUUUUAUCUAAAAGAGUUAAUGGUUUUUCUCCAAACUACAAAUUCACUUCACGGGCGCACCUAUAUUUCUUUAUUAUAAUUUGCAUUUUGCAUUUUUGUUUCAGUUGUAUGUGUGUAAGGAAUAAAGUUAAUUAUGUUCCCCCUAAUUGUGUCUACUUCUUUUUUCAAUAAAAAUCUUUUCCUUGACAAGGUUCACCUAAAAUGAUCUUUUUGGUCCUUACAUAUUUUUUAGGUGGAGCUACUUAAACCUAAUAUUUUUUCAGAACAAAUCAUAUUUUUACUAUAGGAUUUUGGAUAUUCAUAUCAAAGAGAUUAUUGGAUAUUAAAAAUAGCUUGAAUUGGAUUCCUAAAUCACAACAUCAGGAUCCCAUAAUACCGAAAACUGAUCAAGAAGCCUAUGUGACAUAUUUACAAAAAUGAGAGAUGUAAUUAAUAAUUACACACUCUUGUUUUAGUCAUGCAAAAAUACAGCUCCAAUAAAGAAAUGAUUUCCGAAAAAAUAAAUAAAGACGUGAAGCAAUAUCGUCAAUAGAAAAAGGCCAACAUAAAACGUUGGUCUUAUAAACAAUCUGCUAUAUAUGCGGCCUAUGCCAACUUACACAGUAAAGAGCUGAAUAUAUAAACAUUGCCAGUGUAUAACAACCACAUAUCGUUGUAAUGGCAUUUAUCCGCCAUUUUUAGGCCUAAACUCAAUUCGUUCGAUAAUUAUACCAUGCUUAGAACUGUAGCCAUCAAAGUCAAAGACACUACAAACGACAAUUACAUCAUCUUCAUUUUCAUUAAAGAACUCAUCCACCCAUCUGCCCUGUCUUGAGAUAGUUGAGGCAUAUCUUUCGGAGGAUCUAGCACCAGUCUAUGUCUUUCCCCAUUAUCGUUUUCAUCAAAAUAGACACCAAACCCUACAGGUCUUGUUUCAAACCCAUAUCUGGGAUCGACAAACUAGAACACAAGGUAAGCUGCAUAAAUAGUUUUCAAGGACAAAAUUUGUGUCUCUAUAGUUCCUUUGAUUUCAAACGCCACACAAGCUUGAGUUCUGCCACUUCAGGAAACAUAUAAAUGCAUUAGGAUAAUAUGCAUAGAUCAACAUAAAUGAUAGCUUUUGUUUGUAUAAUUAUUAGAAUGUAUCCUCUCAUGAUUUGAGUUCUCUUGACUGUUUAAACAUUUUUGCCACGCGUCACACGAAUAGGCUUCUUCUCGACUGAAAUAAAGUUGGGCUUGAAUGGAAAUUCAGAGUAAUUGGUUUGCAAUCAGCUUAAUUGGACUAUUAAUGCUCCCCUAUGACUACACAUCUCACAUGUUCAAAGGGGGUGAUGUUACAACCUAAAAAUCAAUAUUAAGCCCAAUGACCCAAUUGAUCAGCCCAUCCGGCUCAAGCACGGGAUGCGUUACAUGCUUCUUAGAGUUCGUGCCAGGUAUUGUCUAAUGGAAACAUGCAAGGAAAACGUGAAAUUUAGUCAGGCUAGCUAUACAGGACAUUCAAAGGUAGUGUCUAUUCUUACAGCCGAAUACAGUAAAGAGGUGGCAAUAAAAUAUUGCCAACCAAUUUCAACAAAGGAGAUUAUUUUAUUAAAAUAAAUCAAUUUUAACAAAUAAAUUAUUAUUUUAAAGCAACUGAUUUUGAUAAAACAAAAAAAAAAUUAUGCUUUAAAGCCAACCAAAAUUGACAUUUUGGGCUUGGCUUGCCCUAUAAAUAAGGGAGUUGAAAGCAUGGAGAGAUCAUGAAUUAAGAGAGUUUUUUUAGAAUUUUCGGAGAGUUUUUUGAGAAUUUGAGACUUUGGAUGCGUUGGGGUGUCGAGUUGUGAAAUAAAAUAAUCAAAACUUGUAACUCUACAUAACUAGUAAAAUAUUUUCUCUCAUCUUCUCCUGUGGACUUAGGCUAAAAGCUGAACUGCGUAAAUUCUUAUGUCUCAUGUGUUAUAUUUAUUUCUCAAUUUCAUUUUGGUCAUGUAUCUACUUCACUCACCAAUUCAUUAACAAUUGAUAUCAGAGCCAUUGAUUGUAAUUAUUCGAAUUAGAGAUACUAUUAAGAUAUAUCGAGCCACACGUCACAAGAAUGGGGCCCUUCUCGAUUGUAAUAGAGUUGGAUUUGAAUGGAAAUUCGGACUAAUUGGUCUACAAUCCACCUUAUUAUGUUGUGUGUUUUGAAGAAUAAGGUUCAAAAGCGUAUUCUGGCAUUGAUAUGGUUCAAAUAAGCUCUUGUUAUUCAAAAUCCUAUACGUGAAUAGUAUCAUAUGUGUGAAUAGUAUCUCUACUCUGAAUAACUCCGAUCAAUGGCUUUGAUAUCAAUUGUUAGUGGAUUGGUGAGUGAAGUAAAUACAUGAGUAAAAUGAAACUGAGAAAUAAAUAUAACAGAUGAGACAAAAGAAUUUACGUGAUCUGACUUUUAGCCUACGUCCACGGGAGAAGAUGGGAGGGAAUAUUUUACUAGUUGUGUAAGUUACAAGUAUUGCAGUAUUUUACCUAAACUCUCAAAUUACUAAAUUAAGAACUUAAAGUUCUAAAAAUAUUGUCUUAAAGUUCUCAAAAUACUCACUUAAUUCAUGAUCUCUCUAUGCUCUCAACACCCUUAUUUGUAGGGCAAGCCAAUACCAAAAUGACAAUUUUGGUUAGCUUUAAAAAAUAAUUUAUUUUGUCUUAUCAAAUUGGUGGGCUUUAAAAUAAUAAUAAUUUGUUAAAAUUGAUUUAUUUUAAUAAAAUAAUUCACUUUAAACUAACCAUGUUUUCUUUUAUUUUUGGAUGUAAUUUUUUUAGGCAGGUAAUUUGAUUAUGCGAUAUGCUCACCUACGACUACAAUUCUCACGUAAUCAAAAGGGGUAAUGUUACUACUUAAAAAUCAAUAUUAGGACCAAUGACCAUAUUCAGUCCAUUACGCUUAGGCAUGGAAUAUGUUACAUGCUUCUCAGAGUUCGCGCAGGGUGUUGCCUAAUGGAAACAUGUGAGGAAAAUGUGAAGUUUAGUCAGGUUAGUUGUUCAAGACAUUCAAUGGUAGUAUCUAUUUUUACAGCCUAAACACAGUAAAGUGGUGGCAAUAAAAUAUUGCCAACCAAUUUUGACAAAGCAAAUCAUUUUAUUAAAAUGAAACAAUUUGAACAAAUAAAUUAUUAUUUUAAAGCCCACCAAUUUUGAUAAAACAAAAUAAAUUAUUUUUAAAGCCAACCAAAAUUGACAUUUAGGCUUGGCUUGCCCUAUAAAUAAGAGAGUUGAGAGCAUGGAGAGAUUAUGAAUUAAGAGAGUAUGUUGAGAACUUUAAGAAAGAAAUUUAAGAACUUAACAGUAAUUUGAGAAUUCAGGAGUAUUGGGGUGUUGGGUUGUUAGAUAAAAUAUUGUAAUAUUUGUAACUCUACCCAACUAGUAAAAUAUUUCCUCUCAUCUUCUCCCGUGGACAUAGGCUAAAAGCCGGAUCAUAUAAAUUCUUUUGUCUCCUGUGUUAUAUUUAUUUCUCAAUUUCAUUUUAAUUGUGUAUCUACUUCACUCAUUAAUUCAUUAGCAGCGAUAUAAGAGCCAUUGAUUGUAAUUUUUCGGCAUAGAGAUACUAUGUAGAGUAUCUGAUAACACAAGAAUUAUUGAUCGAAUAAUUGCAAUCAAUAACUCUGAUAUCACUGUUAGUGAAUUGAUGGGUGAAGUAGAUACACUAAAAUGAAAUUGCUAAAUAAAUAUUUGGUUCGACUUUUAGCCUAUAUUCACGAAAAAAUGUAAGAGGAAAUAUUUUAGUAGUUGUGUGGAGUUACAUGUAUUGCAGUAUUUUAUCUCACAACCCAACACCCUGAUACACCCAAACUCUUAAAUUACUAAAUUAAGAACUCAAAGUUCUCAAAAUACUCUCUUCAAGUUCUCAAAAUACUUUCUUAAUUCAUGAUCUCGCCAUGCUUUCAAAUCCCAUAUUUAUAGGGCAAGUCAAGCCCAAGAUGUCAAUUUUGGUUGGCUUUAAAAAAUGAUUUAUUUUGUUUUAUCAAAAUUGAUGGGCUUUAAAAUAAUACUUUAUUUGUUAAAAUUAAUUAAUUUUAAUAAAAUGAUUUUGCUUUGUCAAAAUUGGUUGGCAAUAUUUUAUUGCCACCACUUUACUGUAUUUAGGCUGUAAGAAUAGACAUUGUCGCUGAAUGUCCUGAACAGCUAGCCUGACUAAAUUCCACAUUUUCCUAGCAUGUUUCCAUUAGGUAAUGCCCGGUGCGAGCUCUAAGAACCAUGUAACACAUCCCGUGCCUGAGCUUGAUUGGCUGAAUUGGGUCAUCGGGUCUAAUAUUGAUUUUUUAAGUAGUAAUAGUUUAUUAGUAAUAGUGUUUGGCAUUAAGAUUUACUAAUAAUCAUCAAUCAUCUAAAUGAAUUUAGCUUAGAUGAAUCAAAGAUCAAGAGAAAAUCUUGAUUCGACACUGAUAUAUACCACUUCAGGAAAUCUACAAAUGUAUUCGGAUAAUAUGCAAAGAUCAACAUAAAUUAUAGCUUUUGUUAUAUAAUUACAAGAAAAUAUUAUCUCAUGAUCUCAGCUCUUCUAAAUUUUUAAACAUGUGUGUCACAUGAUUGUUUAGUAAUAGUGUACACCGUUAGGAUUUAACUAUUAACCAUCGCUCAUCUAAGUGAGUUUCACUUAGAAGAAUAAUAAAUCCUGCGGAAAUCCUAAGAGGGCCUUAGUCAGCACAAAUGGUGAUUCCUUGUCAUGUGCAAGUCAUUUAUGAGAUAUUUCAAUGGGCAACAAGUCAUCCAUGGUGUUUAAACUUAGUCAUUUCAUAAGAAGAUUGAAUAGCUGAAGCAAAAGUAGAGCAAUUACCGGCACUUACCAUGUCCAAAUUAGGGGAAAAAGAAAUUCCAUCACAGAUUAAGAAUCAAAAUCAAUUAUAGACCAGCCAAUCCAAAUUUUGCUUGAAACAAAAAGAUUAUUAAUUUCACCAAUUUCUAAUUUGGACCAAUGACUAGAGUUCCAUAUUCUAGUUUAAUCAACAGAUCAAUAAUGCACUAAAAUUAAUUGCUUAAUUAAUCUUAUAACAUAUGCUUUGCGUAUAAAUUUGAUAUAUACUUAACCAAAAAAAAAAAACACCUAAGUCAAGUGAUUGAUAGGGUUGUGACAAAGAUGAAAAUAAAGAUCUUUCCUACACAAAGAAGUGAUCAAAGAUGAAUCAGGGACCUAACUAGAAAUGAUCUGCUUGAAAUCAGAUGGCAGAAAAUUCUCCCACAUGGAAUCUGAAUCCGCAACUGAUUUGGAAAUGGGACAUAACACUAAUAAUUUGCAGGCAUCUUGAGGAGUUGCGAGAGAAAUGAUGUGGGAAAUGCACUCUGCAAGCAGUUAAUAAAAAACAGUAAUGUCCACUUUACUUUCUCUAUUCAUUCUUCCUUAAUUUGCAACUCACAAAUGCCUCGAGAGUAAGACUUCUUUGUUAAGCUAUAAAUGUAGUCAAGUCAAUUUAUGUCCUCUUUGGUGUUGAGGUAAGAUAGUUAUAACUUAAAAGCUAUAAUACUAAGGGAUAAUUUGGUAAUAUUGUAGCUUUUAAAAUAAUUGUUGUUAGUUAUGUUGCAAACAUAAUCAGAUGUGAAAAGAAUUAAUUAAAUAUUUAAUAAAAAUUACUUUUAAAAGUAUUAUAAUUUUUCAAAGCAGUUGUAUGUGUUUGUUAAAUUUUACUGUUAAACUACCAUAAGAAUAUAAAUGAUUGAAUUAGAUAUAAUAUUGAAUAACAUUUAUUUACAUAUUUAUAAACAUGUAUAAGAAUGUUUUUUUAUUGUAUAUAUAUAAUAAUUGAUAACUAUAAUAAAUAUCUUAUUUUUUAAUUUUAUUUUUCAUUUUGUUAACUCUAUAGAAUUGGUAAUAACAAAAAGUCCUUUAAAGUUAAAGAUUUUAUUUCCUAGUUAAUGAGGAUAAUUUUAUACUUUUAUAAAAUUUAUGAAAAGUAUAAAAUUCAUUCACAAAAUCAAAUUUUGAAAAGUUACUCAUUUCCUACUUUUCAAAACCUACUAUUAGAUGGGAUAAUUUUACUAAAAGUGGUUUCUAAAAAAAUUUAGCAAGCACUAAAAUUAGUUUUUAGCUUUCUAGAAUCACUUAUUAACUUCUCAAAAACAAUCCCCAAAGUGUUUGGUAAACAUUAAUUGUUGCUUGAAAACUAAGUUGAUUUAAUCCACUACUUGUAUGAUGAAGAACCUAUAAUAUCUUUAUUAUUUUUGUCAAAAUUAUUUUUAAAAGUCAUGUUUAUUACAUAUUAUUAACUUUUAUUUUAAAUUUAUAACUUUUUUCCCAUAGCAGUUAUAACUUAAAAGUUAUAACAUCUUAAUAUCAAAUAGAGAUUUAGAAGGUUAUUAAAUUAGGAGUAGGACUAUUAGCAAUUUAGCAUCCUUCCAAAACUUUUAUAAAACCUCAUAUUUAUACAUGCACAGUUUUGCCCUUCAUAAUUUGAAAAUAAACUGAUCCAAUCAAACCCCACACAUCUUUCCUUGUAAAAAAGAAAAAGAAAAAAAAAAAGACAAACAAAUCACUAGUUGAUAUCAAUCUUCGGUAUAUAUGAUAUAUGACAAUCAAGGAUAUCUUUUUUUAAUUAAUUAUAUAUUUAAUUAGUUUCCUUAGAUAAUUUAAUUUGCUUUUAUAUAUAUACAUAUAUAUGCAGAUGGUAGAUGAUGAUGAGAAGGAUCCUAAUAUUUGAACUGUUGAUGGUGAAGAAGUGGAAAUUUAUCAUCGACAAAGUUAACAAAAUGGUAGCAGAAAGGGCGUUGAAGCCACAGAAAGUAAAUAACUAUCAAAGUAAUUUUUUCAUGCAUAAUUUUACAAAUACACAUAUAAUUUUCUUUUAUGAAAGAUAGAAUUGGUGACACAAAAAGUCAAUAUCAACUUUUAAAAUAUUCUACAAAGAAAGAGAGAGAGUGGGGAGUCGAGACCUUAUAAGAGAUAGAGAGAGAGAGAGAGAGAGAGAGAGAGAGAGAGAGAGAGAGGAAUCUCUAGAGAAACAAAGGUGUAGGUUAUAAGUGGAAUUAAAGUGGGUGCUUUUGAAAAAAAGAAGUAAAAUUUUAAAAGUUUUUAAUGAGGUAUCCUAAGAGGUAGGUUUUAUAAGGAUUUCAUGGAGUUGCUAAUAAUCUCUUGCUCUAACCGUAAAACAUUUUUUCCUGCUUUCUUUCUCCAGCACAAAGCUCUGUCAAAGAAUGACAAUUAAUUUUAGCUUUAAAAUUGAGAUUAUAUCAAAGAAGAAGAAAGUUUUAGGCCCUAUUUGGUAUUUGGGGUGGUGUAGUUCUUGAACCAUAGUUAUUGUGAAAUAUUAAAAAAACUAUGAGAUAAAAAUUAAUAGUAUAUAAUAAAUAAAACUUUGCAUAAUAAUAUUUACAAAAAAAGAAGAAGAUAUUAUAAGCUUUUCAUCAUAUAAGUGUAGGAUCAAAUCAGCUUAGUUUUGCAGUAAUAAGAACAAAUACUGUAACUUAAAAGUUAUAGUUACCAAACCUCGAUAACAACUUAGUUGCCACAGAUAGUGAUUCCUUAUCAUAGCAAUUCGUUUAUCGCAUACUUCUAUGGAUAAGAAGUCAUCAUCCAUUGUGUUUUAACUUACUCAUUUCAUAAAAAAAUUGAAUAGCUGGAGCAAAAGCAGAGCAAUUUCUGGUGCGUACUUUGCGCUAAGUCAGGGAAAAAUAAAUUCCGUCACAAAUUAAGAAUCAAAAUCAAUUAUGGACCAGCCAAUCCAAAUUUUGGCUGAAACAAAGAAGAUUCUUAAUUUCACCAAUUUCUCAUUUGGAUCAAUGACUCGAGUUCCAUAUUCUAGUUUAACCAGCAGAUCAAUCGCACAAUAAAAUUAAUAGCUUAAUUAAUAUAUAACAUAUGCUUGGCAUGUAAAUUUGAUUUGCACAUGUAAAAAAGAAAAAAGAAAAAGAAAACCUUGUCAAGUUUGAAUUACGAUAGAUCCACUAUUGACGAUGAUGCGGUUGCGACAAAGAUGAAAAUAAAGAUCCUUCUUAGACAAAGAGGUGUUGAAAGAUGAAUCAGAGACUGAAUUGGAUAUGAUAUGCUUGUAAUCAGACCGCAGAAAAUUCUCCCAGUCGGAAUCUGAAUCCGCAACUGAUUUGUAGAUGAGACAUACCCACGGAUAAUCUGCAGGCAUCACGAGGAGUUGUAAGAGAAAUUAUGUAGGAAACGCACCCUGGUGACAGCACAAAUGUUAUAACCAUUUUACUUCUUGCAACUCGUAGCAAGACAAGGAGUGAGUUUAAAAUAUAUGUAGCAAAGGUAAAUACACCAGACUUCUUUGUUAAGUUAAUGGUAAAUAUGCUCG